CUUUCUUUGCUGGCGACCGGCGCACGGGUGAGUAACACGUAUCCAACCUGCCCUUUACUCGGGGAUAGCCUUUCGAAAGAAAGAUUAAUACCCGAUGGCAUAAUGAUUCCGCAUGGUUUCAUUAUUAAAGGAUUCCGGUAAAGGAUGGGGAUGCGUCCCAUUAGGUUGUUGGUGAGGUAACGGCCCACCAAGCCUUCGAUGGAUAGGGGUUCUGAGAGGAAGGUCCCCCACAUUGGAACUGAGACACGGUCCAA
rnacentral:rRNA from 1 species